CGACCGCUGGCGGCGCGCCUAACACAUGCAAGUCGAACGAGCGAGAGAGAGCUUGCUUUCUUGAGCGAGUGGCGAACGGGUGAGUAACGCGUGAGGAACCUGCCUCAAAGAGGGGGACAACAGUUGGAAACGACUGCUAAUACCGCAUAAGCCCACGGUGCCGCAUGGCACAGAGGGAAAAGGAGCAAUCCGCUUUGAGAUGGCCUCGCGUCCGAUUAGCUAGUUGGUGAGGUAACGGCCCACCAAGGCGACGAUCGGUAGCCGGACUGAGAGGUUGAACGGCCACAUUGGGACUGAGACACGGCCCAGACUCCUACGGGAGGCAGCAGUGGGGAAUAUUGCACAAUGGGGGAAACCCUGAUGCAGCGACGCCGCGUGGAGGAAGAAGGUCUUCGGAUUGUAAACUCCUGUUGUUGGGGAAGAUAAUGACGGUACCCAACAAGGAAGUGACGGCUAACUACGUG
rnacentral:rRNA from 1 species